rnacentral:rRNA from 1 species
GACGAACGCUGGCGGCGUGCCUAACACAUGCAAGUCGAACGGGACACUUGUUUUCGGAUGAGUGUUUAGUGGCGAACGGGUGAGUAACGCGUGAGUAACCUGCCUUUCAGAGGGGGACAACAGAGGGAAACUUCUGCUAAUACCGCAUAAAGUGUCGAGAGGGCAUCCUCUUGACACCAAAGAUUUAUCGCUGAAAGAUGGACUCGCGUCUGAUUAGAUAGUUGGUGAGGUAACGGCCCACCAAGUCUGCGAUCAGUAGCCGGACUGAGAGGUUGAACGGCCACAUUGGGACUGAGAUACGGCCCAGACUCCUACGGGAGGCAGCAGUGGGGAAUAUUGGGCAAUGGGGGAAACCCUGACCCAGCAACGCCGCGUGAAGGAAGAAGGCUUUCGGGUUGUAAACUUCUUUUGUCAGGGAAGAUUAUGACGGUACCUGACGAAUAAGCCACGGCUAACUACGUG